AUGGACUAUGCCCUUAAGUUUCCCUUCUAUACCAUGCUCGAAUGUCUAGACCACAAGAGGAACAUCAAACCUUCUGAUGCUAGUGGUUCCCACAUCCUGAAGACACAAUACUUGCCAUAUGGUCUCAACCAAGAACUUUUUUCUUUGGCUGUUGAAGAUUUCACAUUCUCUAAAUCUAUCCACCAGGAUGAACUUCUGCAUCUUGAUAGCACUGGAAUUUGUACGUCUUUGCAAGGUCAGAAACUAGAGAUUUAUUAUGCAGCCAGGCAAGCUGUUGAAACAAUCUGCACAACUCUUCAAGCACCAAGUUCGCAAAAGAAAUGGAGAACCACAUGCUUACUUGCAAUGUGCAAGGAAUUGCAGUUGCUCACUACGGAGCAAUUAUUUGGGAAAGAAAUUCUGUGCUUCCAUGUUAGACAGUGUGAAGAGCUACUAUUUCCUCCGUUCAAACUGAAAUUCGCCCACGACUUCAAGAUUCUGAAGCAAUUAGGUCAAGGGUCUGAGGGGGAAGUCUCCAAAUGCUCAUCGAACUUUAGUGACUUCAAAUGUGCGGUAAAAGAAGUUGUGCCCUCAAAUUUUCUGAUUGAUGCAAGUACAACUAAAAAGCAUUCUGAGCCCAGCGAGGUUACACUGAUGGUAAAACUGAACCACGGUAAUAUUGUGAAGAUGUUCCUGUCUUGGAACGAAACUGGGAGUAACUUCAUGGGCCUUCCAUCAGAUGCAACAUUCAUAUGCAUGAUGUUGUCUGCGAGGACACUGUCGUACUAUCUUGAUCAAAGAUCAAUAAUUGAGUUGGACACAGUCAACAAUUUAUUUCUGCAAAUCAAAGAUCAAUAA
rnacentral:rRNA from 1 species